rnacentral:rRNA from 1 species
UACGAAGGGGGCUAGCGUUGUUCGGAUUAACUGGGCGUAAAGGGUUCGUAGGCGGGGUUUUAAGUCAGGGGUGAAAUGCCGAGGCUCAACUUCGGAACUGCCUUUGAUACUGGAACUCUUGAGUCUGGGAGAGGUGAGUGGAACUGCGAGUGUAGAGGUGAAAUGCGUAGAUAUUCGGAAGAACACCAGUGGCGAAGGCGGCUCACUGGCCCGGAACUGACGCUGAGGCACGAAAGCGUGGGGAGCAAACAGG